AGUGAACGCUGGCGGUAGGCCUAACACAUGCAAGUCGAACGGCAGCACAGUAAGAGCUUGCUCUUACGGGUGGCGAGUGGCGGACGGGUGAGGAAUACAUCGGAAUCUACUUUUUCGUGGGGGAUAACGUAGGGAAACUUACGCUAAUACCGCAUACGACCUACGGGUGAAAGCAGGGGAUCUUCGGACCUUGCGCGAUUGAAUGAGCCGAUGUCGGAUUAGCUAGUUGGCGGGGUAAAGGCCCACCAAGGCCACGAUCCGUAGCUGGUCUGGGGGGAUGAUUAGCCACACUGGAACUGAGACACGGUCCAGACUCCUACGGGAGGCAGCAGUGGAGAAUAUUGGACAAUGGGCGCAAGCCUGAUCCAGCCAUACCGCGUGAGUGAAGAUGGCCUUCGGGUUGUAAAGCCCUUUUGUUGGGAAAGAAAAGCAGCAGGUUAAUACCCCGCUGUUCUGACGGUACCCAAAGAAUAAGCACCGGCUAACUUCGUG
rnacentral:rRNA from 1 species